UUAAAUUGAAGAGUUUGAUCAUGGCUCAGAUUGAACGCUGGCGGCAGGCCUAACACAUGCAAGUCGAACGGUAACAGAAAGAAGCUUGCUUCUUUGCUGACGAGUGGCGGACGGGUGAGUAAUGUCUGGGAAACUGCCUGAUGGAGGGGGAUAACUACUGGAAACGGUAGCUAAUACCGCAUAACGUCGCAAGACCAAAGAGGGGGACCUUCGGGCCUCUUGCCAUCGGAUGUGCCC
rnacentral:rRNA from 1 species